rnacentral:rRNA from 1 species
GAUUCGUCACACUAUCAUUAACUGAAUCCAUAGGUUAAUGAGGCGAACCGGGGGAACUGAAACAUCUAAGUACCCCGAGGAAAAGAAAUCAACCGAGAUUCCCCCAGUAGCGGCGAGCGAACGGGGAGGAGCCCAGAGCCUGAAUCAGCAUGUGUGUUAGUGGAAGCGUCUGGAAAGGCGCGCGAUACAGGGUGACAGCCCCGUACACAAAAGCGCAUGUGCUGUGAGCUCGAUGAGUAGGGCGGGACACGUGGUAUCCUGUCUGAAUAUGGGGGGACCAUCCUCCAAGGCUAAAUACUCCUGACUGACCGAUAGUGAACCAGUACCGUGAGGGAAAGGCGAAAAGAACCCCGGCGAGGGGAGUGAAAAAGAACCUGAAACCGUGUACGUACAAGCAGUGGGAGCACAGGUUUACCUGUGUGACUGCGUACCUUUUGUAUAAUGGGUCAGCG